rnacentral:lncRNA from 1 species
UACAUAAGUUGUAGAUAGAUAUAUCACAAACCCAACAGAAGCAAUUUAGUUUCGUCAUAAUGUCAUGUGCAUGGUUGUAGAGGCCCAAUUUAGCCCAGGCCCGAAACAAAACCAAAAUAAUAAAAUGACCCAUGUACAACAGGCCCAAAACGGCCCAGAUUCUAAACGGCCCAAGGGGGCCCAAAGACUAGGCAAGCACAGGGAACCCUAGGGUUCCCUCUCCUUUGCGUCGCUCCUCCUCGGGCGCAACGCCCACGCCUCAUCCCGAGGCCUGCCCAGCCUCCAUUGACACCAAAAUAGCAAUCCUCUCCGUUGACCCCCGACACCUGCAAAAAAAGACCAAAAGAAGCAGCACAGAAACGGCAACGAGAAGACAGAAACAAAAGCAAAACAUAGAAAAGAAAAUAGCGAACAGUAACAUGGACCAACAGUGUAAUCGUGGCUAUAAAAGCCACUAAAAUAACCUUGUAAAAAAAAAGAUCAAUCGAAUAGAAAAGGAGAGCAAAAGUCAAUCAAAAAAGGUUGAUAAUCUCUUUUAUCUUCAAGUUUCUACUCCUGUUUUUUAAUUUUUAUUUUUUCUUUUUCGAAUAUUAUUAUAAGUAUAAAGAGGAAAAGGGGUUAAAACGUACCUGGGGGUUGGGUCGUGCGCCGUCGACGGAGGUCCCCUCCGUUCGUCAAGGUCACGAAAGCCUUUCGAGGGUUCGUUCGUGUUGCAAUCGAGGGCAAAAGCCGAAAGGCCAUUUCUUUUUCUUUGCCAUUUCGUUUUUUUAAGUACCUAAAUUGGUUCUGUUACCUUUUUUUUAAAAAAAAAAAAAGGAAAGGGAUAAAAGAAGCCUCACCAAGGCGCACCGUCGGAACCUCUUCUGUCGGUCUUCGUCGGAGCCGAAGGGGAGCACCGAAUGUGAGGCGGCUGAGGGUGAGGGAGAUCUGUCUCUUUUAGGAAUUAAA